AGAUUAACACAGUGGGUACUAAAAUUUACGGAUCAUCUUACAGCCGCUCCAUCAUUAACUCAUUUACGAGUGGAUCUGUGAAAGUCGAAUCAACCCUUGUGUUCAAAGAUAAGAGCUCAGUUCCUUCUGCAAGCAAUGCAACUUCAGAAUUCAGCAGCGAGCUUACUAGCAGUUCCACCUCCCUGAACAUUGUCUCUGGCAGCGUUAGUGCAACUUCUACUUCAACUGCAUCCACUGCUGCACCUACUACAGCUGCCCAUACCGCAGCCCCUACUGCAGCUCCUACUGCAGCUCCUAACGCUACAGAAGCUCCAACUG